CGUGGGGAGCGAACCGGAUUAGAUACCCGGGUAGUCCACGCCGUAAACGAUGGAUACUAGCUGUUGGAGGUAUCGACCCCUUCAGUAGCGAAGCUAACGCGUUAAGUAUCCCGCCUGUGGAGUACGGUCGCAAGACUAAAACAUAAAGGAAUUGACGGGGACCCGCACAAGCGGUGGAUUAUGUUCUUUAAUUCGAUGCUAACCGAAGAACCUUACCAGGGUUUGACAUCCCGAGAAUUACUCCGAAAGGAGUGAGUGCUUUAUUGAACUCGGUGACAGAUGUUGCAUGGCCGUCGUCAGCUCGUGUCGUGAGAUGUUUGGUUAAGUCCAUCAACGAGCGCAACCCUUGUGAAUAGUUGUAUUUUUCUAUUCAGACUGCCCCGGCAACGGGGAGGAAGGAGGGGAUGAUGUCAGGUCAGUAUUACUCUUACAUCCUGGGCUAGAAACGUAAUACAAUGGCUGGUACAAUGCGUCGCGAAGCCGCGAGGUGAAGCAAAUCGCACCAAAGCCAGUCCCAGUUCGGAUUGGAGGCUGAAACUCGCCUCCAUGAAGUCGGAAUCGCUAGUAAUCGCAGGUCAGCAAACUGCGGUGAAUACGUUCCCGGGUCUUGUACACACCGCCCGUCAAACCAUGAAAGUGACCAACACCCGAAGUCCGAUUCGUCGGCCUAAGGUGGGGGGCAUGAUUGGGGUUAAGUCGUAACAAGGUAUCCGUAGCGGAAGCUGCGGAUG
rnacentral:rRNA from 1 species